AUUGAACGCUGGCGGCAUGCCUUACACAUGCAAGUCGAACGGCAGCACGGGAGCAAUCCUGGUGGCGAGUGGCGAACGGGUGAGUAAUACAUCGGAACGUGCCCAGUAGUGGGGGAUAGCCCGGCGAAAGCCGGAUUAAUACCGCAUGAGACCUGAGGGUGAAAGCGGGGGAUCGCAAGACCUCGCGCUAUUGGAGCGGCCGAUGUCAGAUUAGCUAGUUGGUAGGGUAAAGGCCUACCAAGGCAACGAUCUGUAGUUGGUCUGAGAGGACGACCAGCCAGACUGGGACUGAGACACGGCCCGGACUCCGACGGGAGGCAGCAGUGGGGAAUUUUGGACAAUGGGCGCAAGCCUGAUCCAGCAAUGCCGCGUGCAGGAAGAAGGCCUUCGGGUUGUAAACUGCUUUUGUCAGGGAAGAAAUCUUCUGGGCUAAUACCCUGGGAGGAUGACGGUACCUGAAGAAUAAGCACCGGCUAACUACGUGCCAGCCGCCGCCGUAAUAC
rnacentral:rRNA from 1 species